GACGAACGCUGGCGGCGUGCUUAACACAUGCAAGUCGAACGGUAAGGCCCUUCGGGGUACACGAGUGGCGAACGGGUGAGUAACACGUGGGUGAUCUGCCCUGCACUUCGGGAUAAGCCUGGGAAACUGGGUCUAAUACCGGAUAGGACCACUGCCUGCAUGGGUGGUGGAAAGCUUUUGCGGUGUGGGAUGGGCCCGCGGCCUAUCAGCUUGUUGGUGGGGUGAUGGCCUACCAAGGCGACGACGGGUAGCCGGCCUGAGAGGGUGACCGGCCACACUGGGACUGAGAUACGGCCCAGACUCCUACGGGAGGCAGCAGUGGGGAAUAUUGCACAAUGGGCGCAAGCCUGAUGCAGCGACGCCGCGUGAGGGAUGACGGCCUUCGGGUUGUAAACCUCUUUCAGUAGGGACGAAGCGCAAGUGACGGUACCUACAGAAGAAGGACCGGCCAACUACGUGCCAGCCGCCGCCGUAA
rnacentral:rRNA from 1 species